ensembl:lncRNA
GUGCACCGUGCGGAAGAAUUCCACCAUCCAGCAAGCGAGGGGAGAGUAUAAAAGGGCGAUAUUCCACUCGCACAAAGAGAAAUAUUUCCGAGCACGUGCGCGAGUUUCUGACGUGGUUUAUGCAGUUACGCUAACGCUUGCUAAUCCUUAUCUACUAGCCCACGUUUUGAUACGUUUGUAGCGACAAUGCCAGGUACAACGGCCACUAAAAACCUCCCUGGUCAUCUUAACGCCGAGCCAUGCAGAGUACAUUUUGACGAUGUUUGACUUGCUCCAACUUCAAACACAAGACAAAUGUCAUCCAAAUUGUACAAACAAAUGUUCCCAACUUUUCCACCAAGGAAGUAACUCUAAGCAUCCAGACUGCGAUAGGCUUUUACUGCAUCUCUCGUGUAGACGCACUGGCUAUCAACCAGCUAAUGGUACAUGUCUGGAUAAGUAUCUUCAUGUAAACGUUUAAUGUUCUGUGUGAAAAGUUCUCUCCCUGGAUAAUGCCACUUCAUUUAUUUUCAGUUUUUGUAAAUACCUCAACAAUUCAGAUUUAGCUAGACCUAAAAAGUAUGCGCUUGUCAUUUUGUUUUGACUCGUCUGGGAUUUAAAAAUAGUGAAAUGGAAAUGCUUCAGGACCAGACAUGUGCAGUAGCACUGUAACUCGUUUAUUAUUGUUUACGUCCUUAAAGUGGUCUAUAGUAAUAAUUCCUUUAUCUUUCAGUAUGCACUGUAGCAUCUGUUCAGGACAGUGAUCGUCAGUGUAAUAGAUGACUGUAUAUAUAAAAGACUGUUCCACUUGUAGAUUUGUGAAAUGUCUCAUUAAAAAUACUCUACUGUUGUUCCCCUUUGCCUUAUUUUUCUCCGUGACCUCUGCGCAAGUGUCUUCUCUGCUCUCAGCUGCAGCUUCACCUGAACACAGUGCAGUGUGUUAAUCACUACAAGACACUGCUGUACUUUACUGUACAGCAUUCAUCUACAGUUAUGUCUCCUACUGCAACAGGAAGUGUUUGAAAUAAAGCUACCUGUUCCACUCGUAUCUGCCUGGUCCACAGUGGUAUAGAUAUUAGGAUUUCCUUCUGAAAACAGAAGAAACAUUCUAGAAAAAUGCAAACAACAAAAAAACAAAACAAAAGGUGUUUUAUGAAGAAAUGUAGAAAUAAACAGUGAUUGACAGAGUGUCUGACCAGCCUGAAGUGGUGUGUGUCCUGACUGAGAGUCUUCAGCUCCUGACCGGCUCUGAUUCUGCUCUGAUGUCUGAUUUUCUAUAGAGG